AUGAACGCUGGCGGCGUGCCUAAUACAUGCAAGUCGAACGCUUCACUUCGGUGAAGAGUGGCGAACGGGUGAGUAAUACAUAAGUAACCUGGCAUCUACAGGGGGAUAACUGAUGGAAACGUCAGCUAAGACCGCAUAGGUGUAGAGAUCGCAUGAACUCUAUAUGAAAAGUGCUACGGGACUGGUAGAUGAUGGACUUAUGGCGCAUUAGCUUGUUGGUAGGGUAACGGCCUACCAAGGCGACGAUGCGUAGCCGACCUGAGAGGGUGACCGGCCACACUGGGACUGAGACACGGCCCAGACUCCUACGGGAGGCAGCAGUAGGGAAUUUUCGGCAAUGGGGGAAACCCUGACCGAGCAAGGCCGCGUGAAGGAAGAAGUAAUUCGUUAUGUAAACUUCUGUCAUAGAGGAAGAACGGUGGAUAUAGGGAAUGAUAUCCAAGUGACGGUACUCUAUAAGAAAGCCACGGCUAACUACGUG
rnacentral:rRNA from 1 species